ACCCCAAACCCUAGGAUAACUCUCCGAAGGGAGGGCUAAUACCGGAUAGGGUCCCCGAGGUAUAGGCUGCGGGGGGAAAAUGAGCCUCUGUUUCAUGCUCAUGGUUCGGGAUGAGCUUGCGGCCCAUGAGCUAGUUGGUAGGGUAAUGGCCUACCAAGGCUACGAUGGGUAGCUGGUCUGAGAGGAUGAUCAGCCACACUGGCACUGAGACACGGGCCAGACUCCUACGGGAGGCAGCAGUGGGGAAUUUUGCGCAAUGGGCGAAAGCCUGACGCAGUAACGCCGCGUGGAGGAUGAAGGCCUUCGGGUUGUAAACUCCUGUCAGGGGGAACGACGGGGAAAGGGUGAUAAGCCCUUUCUUCCAGACGGUACCUCCAAAGGAAGCCCCGGCUAAUUCCGUGCCAGCAGCCGCGGUAAUACGGAAGGGGCAAGCGUUGUUCGGAAUUAUUGGGCGUAAAGGGCGCGUAGGUGGUUUUGUAUGUCUACCGUGAAAGCGUACGGCUCAACCGUAUUUAGUCGGUAGAAACUGCAGGACUUGAGGCUGGGAGGGGCUGGUGGAAUUCCCUGUGUAGCGGUGAAAUGCGUAGAGAUGGGGGAGAACACUCGUGGCGAAGGCGGCCAGCUGGACCAGUUCUGACACUGAGGCGCGACAGCGUGGGGAGCAAACAGGAUUAGAUACCCUGGUAGU
rnacentral:rRNA from 1 species